UAUAAUGCAGUCGACGCUUCUUUUCCCACCGGAGCUUGCUCCACCGGGAAAAGAGGAGUGGCGAACGGGUGAGUAACACGUGGGUAACCUGCCCAUCAGAAGGGGAUAACACUUGGAAACAGGUGCUAAUACCGUAUAACAAUCGAAACCGCAUGGUUUCGUUUUGAAAGGCGCUUUACGGUGCCGCUGAUGGAUGGACCCGCGGUGCAUUAGCUAGUUGGUGAGGUAACGGCUCACCAAGGCCACGAUGCAUAGCCGACCUGAGAGGGUGAUCGGCCACAUUGGGACUGAGACACGGCCCAAACUCCUACGGGAGGCAGCAGUAGGGAAUCUUCGGCAAUGGACGAAAGUCUGACCGAGCAACGCCGCGUGAGUGAAGAAGGUUUUCGGAUCGUAAAACUCUGUUGUUAGAGAAGAACAAGGGUGAGAGUAACUGUUCACCCCUUGACGGUAUCUAACCAGAAAGCCACGGCUAACUACGUGCCAGCAGCCGCGGUAAUACGUAGGUGGCAAGCGUUGUCCGGAUUUAUUGGGCGUAAAGCGAGCGCAGGCGGUUUCUUAAGUCUGAUGUGAAAGCCCCCGGCUCAACCGGGGAGGGUCAUUGGAAACUGGGAGACUUGAGUGCAGAAGAGGAGAGUGGAAUUCCAUGUGUAGCGGUGAAAUGCGUAGAUAUAUGGAGGAACACCAGUGGCGAAGGCGGCUCUCUGGUCUGUAACUGACGCUGAGGCUC
rnacentral:rRNA from 1 species